GCAAGAGAAGCAAUUGCAGGUACAUUUAUGAUUUUUAUUUUCUCGAAUUUUAGGAGGACAUAAGUAGUCAUCUAAGUUAAAGAGCACGAGUUCAUAGAAAGGAGGAUAUCCUUCUUCAUUAGCUUUGCGGAUAGAGAAUUCAUAUAGAUCUUCGAGAACAGAGUAGGGCAACUGAUUUUCAACCAAUAUCAAAUCCCCUAAUACACCAUAUUCGCGUGUUGAUUUUCCGAGUUUAAAAUCAUCUUUAAAAUUUCUAUUGAAAUAAUGUUUUUCUCGUCUCCUCAAGAAGAGCUCUAUGAUGAACACAGAAUCCAAGAGAAUCAUCUUGACGAAGUCUUCAAUAUAUACCUCAUCAAAUGUCUCUUCAUAACAAUGG
rnacentral:misc_RNA from 1 species